rnacentral:RNase_P_RNA from 1 species
CCAGCUGGCCGGGCGGCCGCACCCGCGGGAGCCGAAAGGUUGCGGGUGAGGAAAGUCCGGGCUCCAUGGAGACACGGUGCCGGCUAACGGCCGGCGGGGGCGACCCCAGGGAAAGUGCCACAGAAAGCAAACCGCCGCGGCAUUGCCGCGGCAAGGGUGAAAGGG